rnacentral:rRNA from 1 species
GACGGAGGAUGCAAGCGUUAUUCGGAAUUAUUGGGCGCAAAGGGUCCGUAGGUGGCUAGGCAAGUCUGCUGUUAAAGACCAGGGCUUAACCCUGGGCAGGCGGUGGAAACUGCGUAGCUAGAGACUGGUAGGGGUAGAUGGAAUUCCCAGUGUAGCGGUGAAAUGCGUAGAGAUUGGGAAGAACACCAGUGGCGAAAGCGCUCUACUGGGCCGGUACUGACACUAAGGGACGAAAGCGAGGAGAGCGAAAAGG